rnacentral:rRNA from 1 species
UAAGCCAUGCGAGUCGAACGAGUUUAGGCUCGUGGCGUACGGCGCAGUAACACGUGGAUAACCUACCCUUAGGACCGGGAUAACCUUGGGAAACUGAGGACAAUACUGGAUAGGCAAUUUUUCCUGUAAUGGUUUUUUGUUUAAAUGUUUUUUCGCCUAAGGAUGGGUCUGCGGCCGAUUAGGUAGUUGGUUAGGUAAUGGCUUACCAAGCCGUUGAUCGGUACGGGUUGUGAGAGCAAGAGCCCGGAGAUGGAACCUGAGACAAGGUUCCAGGCCCUACGGGGUGCAGCAGGCGCGAAACCUCCGCAAUGUGAGAAAUCGCGACGGGGGGAUCCCAAGUGCCAUUCUUAACGGGAUGGCUUUUCAUUAGUGUAAAAAGCUUUUGGAAUAAGAGCUGGGCAAGACCGGUGCCAGCCGCCGCGGUAACACCGGCAGCUCUAGUGGUAGCAAUUUUUAUUGGGCCUAAAGCGUCCGUAGCCGGUUUAAUAAGUCUCUGGUGAAAUCCUGUAGCUUAACUGUGGGAAUUGCUGGAGAUACUAUUAGACUUGAGACCGGGAGAGGUUAGAGGUACUCCCAGGGUAGAGGUGAAAUUCUGUAAUCCUGGGAGGACCGCCUGUUGCGAAGGCGUCUAACUGGAACGGUUCUGACGGUGAGGGACGAAAGUUAGGGGCGCGAACCGGAUUAGAUACCCGGGUAGUCCUAACUGUAAACGAUGCGGACUUGGUGUUGGGGUGGCUUUGAGCUGCUCCAGUGCCGAAGGGAAGCUGUUAAGUCCGCCGCCUGGGAAGUACGGUCGCAAGACUGAAACUUAAAGGAAUUGGCGGGGGAGCACCACAACGCGUGGAGCCUGCGGUUUAAUUGGAUUCAACGCCGGACAUCUCACCAGAGGCGACAGCUGUAUGAUAGCCAGGUUGAUGACUUUGCUUGACUAGCUGAGAGGAGGUGCAUGGCCA